GAUGAACGCUGGCGGCGUGCCUAAUACAUGCAAGUCGAGCGAAUGGAUUAAGAGCUUGCUCUUAUGAAGUUAGCGGCGGACGGGUGAGUAACACGUGGGUAACCUGUCCAUAAGACUGGGAUAACUCCGGGAAACCGGGGCUAAUACCGGAUAACAUUUUGAACCGCAUGGUUCGAAAUUGAAAGGCGGCUUCGGCUGUCACUUAUGGACGGACCCGCGUCGCAUUAGCUAGUUGGUGAGGUAACGGCUCACCAAGGCAACGAUGCGUAGCCGACCUGAGAGGGUGAUCGGCCACACUGGGACUGGAACACGGCCCAGACUCCUACGGGAGGCAGCAGUAGGGAACCUUCCGCAAUGGACGAAAGUCUGACGGAGCAACGCCGCGUGAGUGAUGAAGGCUUUCGGGUCGUAAAACUCUGUUGUUAGGGAAGAACAAGUGCUAGUUGAAUAAGCUGGCACCUUGACGGUACCUAACCAGAAAGCCACGGCUAACUACGUGCCAGCCGCCGCCGUAA
rnacentral:rRNA from 1 species